AAACCUAUGUCGUUUAUCUUUUUUUAAAGAUAUUUCUUGUUUAAAUAUUAUUAGGUCAUAACAAACUGCCAAUACCAUAAGCCGUACACGGCCAUCAAGGCUUUUCCGGCGGAUGUAGACAACUCAAACCUCUCCCUGGCCACGUCGGGGGUAUUCAUAGAAUGUGUUCCGAAUGGAUUCAAGAUGGUAGUCCAAUCAUGUGAGAGCGCCCCCUAUAUAUUGACGAUAGCGACAGAUUCCCACCAGGGGGCACUAGCCCCUCAGUUUUAUCAUAUUAUUAUGGCAUAGACAAAAAAAUAAAGAAUGGCUGAAAUA